AAACUUUUUGACUCGUGGGCCGCAUUGGGUUAAAAAAAAUUGACCGGGGGCCAGGCUGUAUAUAUAUAUAUAUAUAUAUAUAUAUUAAUAUAUAUAUAUUGUCUUUUUAAUCUGUUUUGACAUUUAACAUUGUCACGUUAUUGAUGGGAAAAUUCAUUUUUAGACAAUAUGAUUUGCCUGAGCGGCUAGGAGACACCGAGAGUAACAAGCGGUAGAAAAUGGAUUAGAAAGGAAAGAUUAAAAAAUAAAAAAUAAAAACUUUUUUUUUAACUUGGGACUUCCCGUGGGCCGGAUUUUGGAUGCUGGGGGGCCGGAUCCGGCCCGCGGGCCGUAGUUUGGGGACCCCUGACUUAGACCCUUUUUGGUCCCCGGGAGCCCUAAAGGUAAAAAAAAAUCCAUAUAUUUUAUUAUGGUUUGAAAAUGAAAAAUAUCAAAAUGGCCCCCGCAUGUUUUAAUUUGUCCGUGUGCGGCCCUCAGUGGAACAAGUUUGGACACCCCAGCCUUAUAGGGUAUACUGAGUGUUCUCAACCGAGUUGCUGUGUGAAACGUGUCUCUUUAACAGAGGUAUUCUCAGGACGGGGAGGGGGGCGGGUUGGGUUCAUCGGGUUCAUGUAGUAUUUGACGCCUCCUCCGACUUCAGGUCGGCUGCUUCCCUCGGCGAGCUUGCUGCAACUCGAAUAGGGUGAUGCAAAAGAAGCAUGCAAUGGUUACAGUAGAUCAAUAACCGAGCUUGACCUUUUUUUUAUUUAGGACAGCUGCGGCACGAUGCCAUCUUCGGGUCAUUCCAGGCACAUCUAGCUCCAAUCAUUCCUAAGGAUGGGGUAAUGUCUUUGGCUGUAUAGAAGAGGAAUACACAUCACCAUGGCCGAUGGAUGUUGCAGGGGAUUGGAUCGAGUCCGGGGUAAGAUUGCGUCAGACCCCCUGCCUCGAGCGGCGUACGCUCCGCAAUGCCCGCAGCCCGGUGCCCAGCAGCAGGGUAACGACAUCCAGGAGCUCGCCUCCAAGCGAGUCGACAUCCAGAAGAAACGCUUCUACCUGGACGUGAAGCAGAGCGUGCGCGGACGCUUCCUCAAAAUAGCCGAGGUGUGGAUCGGCCGAGGCCGCCACGACAACAUCCGGAAGAGCAAGCUCACGCUGUCGAUGUCGAUGGCCCCGGCGCUCCGCUACAGCCUGGGGGACUUCAUCGAAUAUUACGCCCGCAUCGGACUGCGGGGGGGCCUCCUCGACGAGCACGGAAGCAACGGGCAGGGCCGAAGGAGAGCGCAGGAGCCCGCAUCGUCCCCCGCCGGCUCCGUGGCGUCGGACGAUCACGUCCACCGCGUCCUUAAGAGCGAAUUCAUCGAAAGGGACAAUCGGAAGUACUUUCUGGACCUCAAAGAGAACCAGAGGGGCAGGUUCCUGCGCAUCCGGCAGACGGUCAGCAAAGGGCACGGCACCAUGGGCUACUACGGCCAGGGCAUCGAACAGACCAUCGUCCUUCCCGCGCAGGGCUUGAUCGAGUUCCGGGACGCACUCUCGCAGCUGAUCGAGGACUACGGCGACGGCGACGACGACGGCGACGAGCGCGGCCGAGCGGCGACCGGAAGCCACGACUCUACCCCGGAGCUUCCGGAGGCCGCGUCCUUCCGAGUGGACAACAAGCGGUUUUAUUUCGACGUCGGUUCCAACCGCUUCGGCGUCUUUUUGAAAGUCAGCGAAGUGCGGCAGCCCUACAGGAACACCAUCACGGUGCCGUUAAAAGCCUGGGCGAGAUUCGGGGAGAAUUUCAUCCGGUACGAGGAGGAAAUGCGACGAAUGUUCACUUGUAACAAAGAGAAGAGGACAGAGGCUCGGCAGGACAGCGAGGAACAUGGAGACUGACCUUGACAAUCUUGGUGAAAUACCGCUGACACAGCGAGCCUGAGAUGAACUGAAGACAACGGCAACACUUUCACCCUAAAACGUCGUCAGGUGAUGAGAAUUGGCAGGGCCCAACUGAGUGUUUGAGAUAUCAUGGAG